AGGCAGCCAAGUAGCAACAUAUUUCUGAGUUGCAAUUCCUUGCCUCCACUGUGAGACAAACCCCAGCCACAUCUCCAGCACACAAGAACUUCCAAACGCCUAAACCGCAGUGGCCAGGCAUUCCUCCAGAACUGCCUCCCCCAGGAGCUUGCUACAAGUGCCAGAAAUCUGGCCACCAGGCCAAGGAAUGCCCGCAGCCCAGGAUUCCUCCUAAGCCGUGUCCCAUCUGUGCAAGACCCCACUGGAAAUCGGACUGUUCAACUCACCUGGUAGCCACUCCCAGAGCCCCUGGAACUCUGGCCCAAGGCUCUCUGACUGACUCCUUCCCAGAUCUUCUCAGCUUAGCAGCUGAAGACUGAUGCUGCCCGAUCGCCUUGGAAGCCCUGUAGACCAUCACAGAUGCCGAGUUUUAGGUUUUCUUACAAUCUCUGUGGAAACUAUUUCAUCUGCAAACUGAGUUUGUGUUCUGGGCAUGCUGGCCACUUCUGGUGA